rnacentral:lncRNA from 1 species
UAGUGCCAGGGACCGAACCCAGUGCUUUACUCAUGCUAGGAAAGUGCUCUACCACUAAGCUACAAUCCUGGCUCCUGUUUUAUAAAUCUUUUAUAGAUCAUCCAUAUAACUGAUGAGAAGGUGAAUUUUAUUUAUUGGGUAGUACAACUCUGAUUUAACUCACAACAGUAAAGAUUAAUUUUGUGAAACAAUUUGGUCUUCAUAUCUGGGACUAUACAUUUGGAAGAUAGUUGCUUUCUUGGCUGCUUUUGAAAGAGUUUUAGUUAAGUCAGUGUCAGUGGAUUUAUAAUUCUAGACGGUAAUUUUGCAUACUUCACAUAGUGUAGUUUCUGAUGUGAAUUUCUUCUGUGAGAAAAUUGGACAUAGAUCUGGGUGAGUCAUGUUGUUACCUUUUCUUAGGAUUGUUCCUAAAGUAGAAUGUUUUAUUAAUUCUGAUUGAAAAAGAACUAUUCAUAACACUGAAAUUUCCUUUGCACAUUGAUAUUUUUCUAAAAAAGUACUGAGAUCUGGUUCAAAAAGAUAUAAUAAAGAAUAAUAGGUGAAAUAUGAAUUGCAAACCUUUGGGAGUUGAGUCUUAUGUGAGAAAACUGAGGAAUCAGGCAGAGAUUUUGAAGAUCAUGUAACUUUUGGGAAAUUUUGGACAAUUCAUUUUGAAACUGGGUUUUUAUAGUAGGUAGAAUUCUGUAUGUUAAGAACAGUGAUAGCUUUUAACUUUCAUAUGACAAAUUACAUAGUCUCCUCUUUAAAAAUGAUCUGUUAGGCUGAGGAUGUAGCUGAAGGAUACAGUACAAACUUGGCAUGCACAAGGU